GAUUCAGCAUCUGUGGCAAAAACAUUUCUAACCUCCGAUGCAGUAGUGGUCGACAUUAAGGAAGUAGAGCAGCCCGUACAGAUGCCGAUGAGAAAGCCUCUUAGAAAGCCAGGUAUUCCCCGAGCAGGCAUGCCACUUAUUGUGUAGGGAUAAAAGCUGUUCCAGACUCCGGGUUGCUCUUAAAUGCUCAAAGUACCGCGCCUUCACAAGGAGAUGCCCUUUUUCCUUGUAGUACUCCAACGCUAGUAACAUACUAGUCAUACAACUGCUCUUGGUUUUGCUCGAGUUAGAAGCUAAUACGGGAAACUUGUCAACAAAGCUUUGUAUCUACAGUGGAGCAGAUCUCAAAGGAGAGAUGGUCAGUAUGCGGGUUCUUACCUCGGAAGAGAGUGAUCGAAUGCCUAUAUAUUACCAGAUGCGGAGAGACUGCAAAGUGAUAGAAGAAAGACAACUCAUUGUGACCUGAUGCAGAUUCAUAGGAAAUGUCGACUUCAAACUCUACUUUUUCAGGGUCGGAAUACAUCUUUCC